CAUAGAACUAGGGGACUUCCCCUAGUUAGUCCAGAGGAAGUGACAGAACCAGGACCUGUACCCAUGUGGAGCAACUGCUUAGCUCUGUGGCCGGAGUGCACGUUUCACAUGAGGAGUGAGGGGCACGAGGCGCCAGCCUGAUAAAGUAUUUAGGCUGCUUUCUCAGUAGUAAAAUGAUGUAGAUGAUCCAUAUGGAGACAACUGGGUGAAGACUUCCAUCUGGAAAUACUCCCUAAUACUUUGGCAAUGACACUAAGUGAAAAGGGCUUUUACCAUGUUUGUGGAAAUCUGUGCAGGUCAGCAUGGUCUGGUCCGGUUUUCUUUGAUGAGGAGACACACCCAGAGAGAAAAGGAGACUUGUCCAAGGUCCCUCUGCCAGCCUGCCACAAGAUCAGGACAGAAUCCAAGUCCUCUUCCCUCUUGGCCACCCCACAGUCUAACCAAAUAUACAAUAAUCAGGGUACUUUAUACUAACAGCAGAGCAGCACUUCUAGCUACGUUUCAGAUGCAUGUGAACCAAGUUUGGUAUUAGUUUUUUUUCUAAGUAUCUUCUACCCAAAAUAGGCAGAAACUCUCCAUGUGGGUGUUCAUGCACAGAGAUCAAAGACAUUCUUCACCAGAUCUACAUGGCAUGAAGGUUGAAGGUUCAUUAAGAGAAAAGACAAUCUAUUCACUUAAGAUAUGCCUUAUCUCAAAUCUUCCAUCUGUAGCACUAUUCAUCUUCCCAGGUGUCUUCUUACUCAUGCAGAUUUAUGUGUGAUUACCAAUCUUUUAUGAAAUAGGCAAAUAGAAAUUAAACAUCUAAAAAUACAUAGGAUCCAAAUGUAACCCAGUGUUUUUCCUGAAUCUUAUUGAGACAAUUG